UGUAAUUGCAGUGUAGUUUUACUCCGCUGUUGUAAAUUCAGUCAAACUGAAUGUCGGUUUCAGUUUUCAGCAACAGUUUCUAUAUUGUGAAGUUUGGUCUUUUCUUGACGAGAGAUCAGAAGAGCG